AUAGAGUCAAGUGACUAAGUGCAUGUGGUGGAUGCCUUGGCGAUUACAGGCGAAGAAGGACGUAGUAGCUUGCGAUAAGCUGCGGGGAGUCGGCAAACAGACUUUGAUCCGCAGAUUUCCGAAUGGGGAAACCCGGCCAGAAAUGGUCAUCCCGCAAGGGAAGCGAACCCGGAGAACUGAAACAUCUAAGUACCCGGAGGAAAAGAAAUCAACCGAGAUUCCGAAAGUAGUGGCGAGCGAAAUCGGAGGAGCCGUAUAGUGUUAUAGUGACGAGAUAGGAGAAAUACCUGGGAAGGUAUGCCAUAGUGGGUGAUAGCCCCGUAUCUGAAAUCCGACAUUAAGAACUAAGCUAUAGAGAAGUAGGGCGGGACACGAGAAAUCCUGUUUGAAGAUGGGGGGACCAUCCUCCAAGGCUAAAUACUCGUAAUCGACCGAUAGUGAACCAGUACCGUGAGGGAAAGGCGAAAAGAACCCCGGGAGGGGAGUGAAAUAGAACCUGAAACUGCAUGCAUACAAACAGUGGGAGCGGACUUGAUCCGUGACUGCGUACCUUUUGUAUAAUGGGUCAGCGACUUACAUUCAGUAGCAAGCUUAACCGAGUAGGGGAGGCGUAGGGAAACCGAGUCUUAAUAGGGCGAAUAGUUGCUGGGUGUAGACCCGAAACCGGGUGAGCUAUCCAUGGCCAGGAUGAAGGUGCAGUAACAUGCACUGGAGGUCCGAACCGACUAAUGUUGCAAAAUUAGCGGAUGAGCUGUGGAUAGGGGUGAAAGGCUAAACAAACCCGGAGAUAGCUGGUUCUCCUCGAAAACUAUUUAGGUAGUGCCUCGUGGUUGAUACUUCUUGGGGUAGAGCACUGUUAUGGCUAGGGGUUAUUGCAACUUACCAAACCAUGGCAAACUCCGAAUACGAGAAAGUAAUACACGGGAGACAGACAUCUGGUGCUAACGUCAGGUGUCAAAAGGGAAACAACCCAGACCGCCAGCUAAGGUCCCAAAUGAUCAAUUAAGUGGUAAACGAUGUGGGAAGGCAUAGACAGCUAGGAUGUUGGCUUAGAAGCAGCCAUCAUUUAAAGAAAGCGUAAUAGCUCACUAGUCAAGUCGUCCUGCGCGGAAGAUGUAACGGGGCUAAAUUGAUAACCGAAGCUGCGGAUUCACAGUAAUGUGAGUGGUAGAGGAGCGUUCUGUAGGCCGAUGAAGGUGUGUUGAAAAGCAUGCUGGAGGUAUCAGAAGUGCGAAUGCUGACAUGAGUAGCGUUAAAGCGGGUGAAAAGCCCGCUCGCCGAAAGUCCAAGGAUUCCUACGCAACGUUAAUCGGCGUAGGGUGAGUCGGCCCCUAAGGUGAGGCAGAGAUGCGUAGCUGAUGGGAAACAGGUUAAUAUUCCUGUACCGAUGUAUAGUGCGAUGGGGGGACGGAGAAAGUUAGGCCAGCCAACUGUUGGAAUAGUUGGUUUAAGCAUGUAGGUGGGGAAGUUAGGCAAAUCCGGCUUUCUAACACUGAGGUGUGAUGACGAUUACCUACGGGUAAGAAGUGGUUGAUACUAAGCUUCCAGGAAAAGCCUCUAAGCUUCAGCUGUACACGACCGUACCGCAAACCGACACUGGUGGACGAGAUGAGUAUUCUAAGGCGCUUGAGAGAACUCUGGAGAAGGAACUCGGCAAAUUAGCACCGUAACUUCGGGAGAAGGUGCGCCCCGAUGAUGUGUAGGAAUUUACUUCCGAAGCAGUAAGGGGUUGCAGUGAAAUGGUGGCUGAGACUGUUUAUUAAAAACACAGCACUCUGCAAACACGAAAGUGGACGUAUAGGGUGUGACGCCUGCCCGGUGCUGGAAGAUUAAAUGAUGGGGUGCAAGCUCUUGAUUGAAGUCCCAGUAAACGGCGGCCGUAACUAUAACGGUCCUAAGGUAGCGAAAUUCCUUGUCGGGUAAGUUCCGACCCGCACGAAUGGCGUAACGAUGGCCACACUGUCUCCUCCAGAGACUCAGCGAAGUUGAAAUGUUUGUGAAGAUGCAAUCUCCCCGCGGCUAGACGGAAAGACCCCAUGCACCUUUACUGCAGCUUUGCAUUGGACUUUGACCAUAUUUGUGUAGGAUAGGUGGGAGGCUUUGAAGUUGUGACGCUAGUCACAAUGGAGCCGACGUUGAAAUACCACCCUGAUAUGUUUGAGGUUCUAACCUAGGUGUAACAGCACCGGGGACAGUACAUGGUAGGCAGUUUGACUGGGGCGGUCUCCUCCCAAAGAGUAACGGAGGAGUACGAAGGUAACCUUAUCACGGACGGAAAUCGUGAGGAAAGUGCAAUGGCAAAAGGUUGCUUGACUGCGAGACUGACAAGUCGAGCAGGUGCGAAAGCAGGUCAUAGUGAUCCGGUGGUUCUGAAUGGAAGGGCCAUCGCUCAACGGAUAAAAGGUACGCUGGGGAUAACAGGCUGAUACCGCCCAAGAGUUCACAUCGACGGCGGUGUUUGGCACCUCGAUGUCGGCUCAUCUCAUCCUGGGCUGUAGUCGGUCCCAAGGGUAUGGCUGUUCGCCAUUUAAAGAGGUACGUGAGCUGGGUUUAAAACGUCGUGAGACAGUUUGGUCCCUAUCUGCCGUGGGCGUUGGAGAUUUGAGGGGGCUGCUCCUAGUACGAGAGGACCGGAGUGGACACACCUCUGGUGUACCGGUUGUGACGCCAGUCGCAUUGCCGGGUAGCUAAGUGUGGAAGAGAUAACCGCUGAAAGCAUCUAAGUGGGAAACUUGCCUCGAGAUAAGAUCUCCCUUGUGCCGUGAGCACACUGAAGGGUCGUUGAAGACUACAACGUUGAUAGGUCGGGUGUGGAAGCGCAGUAAUGUGUUAAGCUAACCGAUACUAAUUGCCCGAGAGGCUUGACUCUAUUAUUUUAGUAGUUU
rnacentral:rRNA from 1 species